rnacentral:rRNA from 1 species
AGAUUGAACGCUGGCGGCAUGCCUUACACAUGCAAGUCGAACGGCAGCACGGGAGCAAUCCUGGUGGCGAGUGGCGAACGGGUGAGUAAUACAUCGGAACGUGCCCAAUCGUGGGGGAUAACGCAGCGAAAGCUGUGCUAAUACCGCAUAAGAUCUACGGAUGAAAGCAGGGGAUCGCAAGACCUUGCGCGAAUGGAGCGGCCGAUGGCAGAUUAGGUAGUUGGUGAGGUAAAGGCUCACCAAGCCUUCGAU